rnacentral:rRNA from 1 species
AAAACGACUCUCGGCAACGGAUAUCUCGGCUCUCGCAUCGAUGAAGAACGUAGCGAAAUGCGAUACUUGGUGUGAAUUGCAGAAUCCCGUGAACCAUCGAGUCUUUGAACGCAAGUUGCGCCCAAGCCGUUAGGCCGAGGGCACGCCUGCCUGGGUGUCACGC